GUGAGUCAGCUGCACAGAGUAUCAUUAGCCAGGGUGGGUAUAAUUGUGUGGGAUUAAGAAAGGCAUGUGGGCAGGCAUCUAGCUCACUCCUUGCUUUAGAUCCUCCUGCAAUCAGCAUCUGUCACCUUGGGCCUCCUAGGAAGGAUUAGUUUGGCUCCUGAGUGUUGUCUUAAAGGGACUUCCCUGCUGCUGGAACUGGCCCCCUUGCCCUCUUAAAAGUCAUUUGAAGCUACAUCAGGACAUAUGGAUGCCACAUUUAACUCUGAUUCUUGCUUGAAAGAGUGCCAGAGCUGGGAAACUCAAAAUUCCAUGGAAGAUACCAAGACAAGGCAACAGCAGGGUGACAUUAAUUGCUGCUUUUGUGCCUAAUCUAUGGAUGGAUCAAAGGAGAGACAAUGGAAGUGCUUCAGCUAAAUCCUUGACUGAUGGAUCUGGAAUUAUUUUGGUGCACUAGAAAUUCUCAUCAUAGACAAAUAAAAAAUGGAGUAGGCAUGGAAGAUCUAGAACAAAUUUCUAUGACUGAGAAGGAUCAAGCACAUUCCUACAGACCAUCCAGUCUGCCAAAUAUCAUUUUCUUGGUUCUUCUACUCAUUCCAGGACAGGUACUUAUCCAGGUAGUCUGACUUUCUUGUGUUGAAAAUAACAGCGUGGGAUAACAUAGAUUUUUAAAAAACUACAUAUGCACAUAUAUUUUUAGAGCUCCUUGAACAAUUUAAGCCCAGUGUAAGAAUUUGAUCAUUUUACAAAUCUGAAACAUUACAUACUUAGGCUAAAGAAAAUAUGGUCAGAGGUAUGGUGUAGGCAGGUAGAUAACUUAAAGUAUUAAAUCUAUUCCUCCACCCUGAUGUGUUACAUUAAUAGUGAUUUAUGAGAUUAUAACUUAAUAGGAGCUUGAUGUCAUACCUUUCCCACUACCAAAGGACUGUGUUGCACUGACCUCACUCAUAAGUCACUACUUUCUUUAAAUUUUUAAAAUUAUAUUUAUUUAUUAGAUAGAGACAGCCAGAAAUUGAGGUAGAAGUAGAGAGGGACAGAGAGACACCUGCAGUACUGCUUCACCACUUGUUAAACUUUCUCCCUGCAAGUGGGCACUGGGGGCUUGAACCUGGGUCCAUGAGCAUUAUAACACAUGCGCUCAACCAGGUACACCACCACCUGGCCCCAAGUCAUUACUUUGAAUACUAUCAAAUACUACAGCAAAAGUUAUUAUUAUUUGGCAUAACAUCAGUACCAUUCUCUCUAAUAUAGUUACUGCUUUCCUUGUUGACAUUCACAAUUAAUUACUACAACCACCCACCAUCUCCAUUCCCUCCAUCCCUCUACCAUCACCACAACUACAAUUACUACUUUCGCAGUCUCCACUAAUUCUCAGAUUGCUACCACUUCCACCACCUUUACCAUUACUGCUGUCAUCACCAGCACCAUCACACCUAUUACUUUUA